AUUGAACGCUGGCGGCAGGCUUAACACAUGCAAGUCGAGCGGUAGCACAAGAGAGCUUGCUCUCUGGGUGACGAGCGGCGGACGGGUGAGUAAUGUCUGGGAAACUGCCUGAUGGAGGGGGAUAACUACUGGAAACGGUAGCUAAUACCGCAUAACGUCGCAAGACCAAAGAGGGGGACCUUCGGGCCUCUUGCCAUCAGAUGUGCCCAGAUGGGAUUAGCUAGUAGGUGGGGUAAUGGCUCACCUAGGCGACGAUCCCUAGCUGGUCUGAGAGGAUGACCAGCCACACUGGAACUGAGACACGGUCCAGACUCCUACGGGAGGCAGCAGUGGGGAAUAUUGCACAAUGGGCGCAAGCCUGAUGCAGCCAUGCCGCGUGUGUGAAGAAGGCCUUCGGGUUGUAAAGCACUUUCAGCGAGGAGGAAGGUGGUGAACUUAAUACGUUCAUCAAUUGACGUUACUCGCAGAAGAAGCACCGGCUAACUCCGUGCCAGCAGCCGCGGUAAUACGGAGGGUGCAAGCGUUAAUCGGAAUUACUGGGCGUAAAGCGCACGCAGGCGGUUUGUUAGUCAGAUGUGAAAUCCCCGGGCUCAACCUGGGAACUGCAUUUGAAACUGGCAAGCUAGAGUCUCGUAGAGGGGGGUAGAAUUCCAGGUGUAGCGGUGAAAUGCGUAGAGAUCUGGAGGAAUACCGGUGGCGAAGGCGGCCCCCUGGACGAAGACUGACGCUCAGGUGCGAAAGCGUGGGGAGCAAACAGGAUUAGAUACCCUGGUAGUCCACGCUGUAAACGAUGUCGAUUUGGAGGUUGUGCCCUUGAGGCGUGGCUUCCGGAGCUAACGCGUUAAAUCGACCGCCUGGGGAGUACGGCCGCAAGGUUAAAACUCAAAUGAAUUGACGGGGGCCCGCACAAGCGGUGGAGCAUGUGGUUUAAUUCGAUGCAACGCGAAGAACCUUACCUACUCUUGACAUCCAGAGAACUUUCCAGAGAUGGAUUGGUGCCUUCGGGAACUCUGAGACAGGUGCUGCAUGGCUGUCGUCAGCUCGUGUUGUGAAAUGUUGGGUUAAGUCCCGCAACGAGCGCAACCCUUAUCCUUUGUUGCCAGCGGUUCGGCCGGGAACUCAAGGGAGACUGCCAGUGAUAAACUGGAGGAAGGUAGGGAUGACGUCAAGUCAUCAUGGCCCUUACGAGUAGGGCUACACACGUGCUACAAUGGCAUAUACAAAGAGAAGCGACCUCGCGAGAGCAAGCGGACCUCAUAAAGUAUGUCGUAGUCCGGAUUGGAGUCUGCAACUCGACUCCAUGAAGUCGGAAUCGCUAGUAAUCGUAGAUCAGAAUGCUACGGUGAAUACGUUCCCGGGCCU
rnacentral:rRNA from 1 species